GUGAGUCGACGUGGCUGAAGAAAGAGAGAGAUGGAGGCGCGGAGGGCUUCCGGCGGACGCGGCGAAAACGCCGGAUGUGAGAGUGGGUUCACGGUGAAACAGAGGUGGGUUGUGGCGGUGAGCGGCGGAAGGAGGUGUGAAAAGGAGGAAACGGCGGUUUCGUGAUUUGUUUCACAGUGGUUACGGGUUGUUUCUAGGAAGAUGAACAGUGGUUCAUAUUUAAUCUUUUUUAUUUUUUU
rnacentral:lncRNA from 1 species